GGUAUAGCCAAGUGGUAAGGCAACGGACUUUGACUCCGUCAUUCCGCUGGUUCAAAUCCAGCUACU
rnacentral:tRNA from 1 species